rnacentral:rRNA from 1 species
GGAUUAGAUACCCUGGUAGUCCACGCCGUAAACGAUGUGUGCUAGUUGUCGGGAGUUCAGCUUUCGGUGACGGAGCGAAAGUUUUAAGCACACCGCCUGGGGAGUACGGCCGCAAGGUUAAAACUCAAAGGAAUUGACGGGGACCCGCACAAGCGGUGGAGCAUGUUGUUUAAUUCGAAGCAACGCGAAGAACCUUACCUACACUUAACUAUCCUCUUGGGACUUUCAGAGAUGAUUGUCUUCGGUUCGGCCGGGGAGUGAAUAGGUGCUGCAUGGCUGUCGUCAGCUCGUGUUG